UCCGCAUUCCAGCCUCAGGAAAAACAGUCCGGAACAUAAUAAAAGGCCGAGCUCGUCAUUUGUUUUUAAAUCCACUUGCUCUGCUGGAACAAAGCUGUGCUGAGGGGCAGGACUGAGCCGAUGUGUCUGUGCACACGAGAAAGAGACAGCGAGAGAGGGAUGUGUGUUUGUGUUGACGUGAGUCUGUGUGCAUGUGGGUUUCCCUUGUUUUUCUCUGUGGUAAUGACAGCGUGACGGGCUCAACCACCAGCAACACACCGCGUGGCCUCCGCCCGACCACACAACCUGAAACACAUGCGUGGAGGAGAAAAGCACCGCCGGCCACCUAUAGGUCCUCAUUUGUGCCAUCUGUCUCUCAUUAUUGGCAUUUUGUCCAACUUGUCUCAUUUCUCACACUCCAGGUCACAGACGAAUCCCCAGACCCGCCGUGACCUUGUUUGUGCCGCCCGCCGUUCAAACAUAUACGCCCUGGACACACGAAGACCGAGAGACACCAGCACAUCUUUUAAUUAUCAUCGCACAGCUGAUAAGUGGUAGCACUGGUCAUAUUCAAGUCUCUGAUAGAAGUGGUCGGGUUGAAGGUCAGGCCAGUUUUAAUGGAGUGUUUUUGACCAUGGUGCGUCCUUGGUCAGAGAGCCUCUCGACCUCUGCAUCCGGCCUGGAACAAUAUCACUUUCAUUCCCCAUCCUUCCACUACAUUUGCCGCAACCCCCCCACUCCGUCUCGAGGUUGUGCUGUAACUGAUACUGGGAGCUUCCGACCAGCCAAUCCAUAGCGCCGCUGACCUCAUCCUGUCCUCUCCGCCCCGCCACCGGUCCCAUCAGCUCCUCAGGAAGCUAAUAAUCUCCUUCCUGCGUUCGACACAGAGCGUGGCGGCCGAGCGGAGCCCAUGGGGGUCUCGGUGUUGUAAUCCACACCUGGACCGGCGCCAAGCACGUCUGCAGACACCUGCGUCAGACCGGCUGAGAAAAACAAGUCAAAAACACAGAUCCCACCCCCUUCAUCCCUCGGCUCCCUCUCUCUGUGUCUUCAUCUGUGUUUUUGUCUGUGGACCCCCCAAAAAACCCUCCACCCUCCUCUCUACGGGAGUUUGAAUGGGUCACGUGACUUCCUUCCUGUUGUUUUGACCCCGGGGUCAGUCUGCUUUCAUGUCAGUGUAUCCACCCUCCUCUGCUAAUUAAAUACAAUCUUAAAACCUCA